UCCUCUCAUGUCUCGUCUCUUCAUCUCUCAUAUCUGGUCAUCUGCAAUCUUCUUUUCUCUGGGAUAAACAGAAGAUGAAGAACAUCAGGACACGGAGAGAAGAGAGAAGAGGCGAAGUCGGAGCUCUGUAGUGAUGGAGAUAGCGGCUAUGACUGUGAUGGGAACUUGUCUCCAACUUGCUUUUAGUCUGAGAAUUUCGUGUGUCCUGUGUUCAUUUGAACUGAGAGAUACUUUUGUGUUUCAGAAAUUGAUGUAUCAGCAUGAAAGCGGUCUUUUCGAUUUUAGACGGACUGAAAGCUCUCCGUUGCUGCUUGUAAUUGACAAAAGAGAUGACCCGGUACGGUUACCCCAUUGCUUAAUCAGUGGACAUAUCAGGCAAUGGUGCACGAACUCAUAAUGA